rnacentral:rRNA from 1 species
UACAGGGGGGGCAAGCGUUGUUCGGAAUUACUGGGCGUAAAGGGUCUGUAGGUGGCCAACUAAGUCAGACGUGAAAUCCCUCAGCUUAACUGGGGAACGGCGUCUGAUACUGGAUGGCUUGAGUGUGGGAGAGGAAUGCGGAAUUCCAGGUGUAGCGGUGAAAUGCGUAGAUAUCUGGAGGAACACCGGUGGCGAAGGCGGCAUUCUGGACCAUAACUGACACUGAGAGACGAAAGCCAGGGGAGCAAACGGG